GGUGAAAUAUGAUAUUCCCUUCAUUCCAAAUUAUAAGUUAUUUUAAGAAUCUUGGAGUGUCAAAACAUCUCAAGUUUGAUCAAAUUUAUAUCAUAAUAUAAUAAUAUUUAUGAUACUAACUAAGUAUUGUUUAGGUUUUUUUAUUAAUUAUAUUUUCAUAGUAAUAUAUAUUUAAUGUCAUAAUUUUUUCUAUUUUUCUAUAAUUUUUGUUAAACUUGAGUUGAAAUGGUUUAUAAAUUGGCCGGGAUCGACAGAGUACUACGGAUGAAAUAUGACCCCGCACAUGACCUGACUCAACAGUCAACACCAUCGCGCUCCUCGACCCGAAGACACCUGCGGAUCAAUAUUUCACUGCACAUGCCUGCUGCAACUGCAACCGCACUGCAUCUGCACAGAUGUAGGCAUGCACAUGCAUGUAUCUCCUGCAGUGCACAGCUGGAAAGGUAUGGUCUCCGAUCGGCUAGUCGUCAUGUAUAAUAUAACAAUAUGAUUGUGUCAACUGUGUUGUUUUAUUUUUUAUUUUUUGAGAAACUUGUGUCAACUGUUGUUGUUGGUAGCAGCGGUCAAGCAGGUGCGGUGCCGCGGUCAGGACGGAUCCAUAUGACUUGGUCGGUGAGGGUGUGGGCCAGCCCUCUGCCGCCGGUCUCUUGACACGUUCGCCAUGUAUAUUGAUGGAUCCAUUCAUUUGCGUUGCGCAGCACAAAAUGUCAACCCGACGAAGGCUCACUGAUAAAAAUCGACAGGCUCCUCCUAAUCCGUCCAUCUCCUAUUUUUCUGCCACGUACAGCUUUCAGUUACUAGCUGUCUCUCUGGCUUGAAUUGUGUUUUAGCUG
rnacentral:lncRNA from 1 species